rnacentral:rRNA from 1 species
UACGUAGGGGGCUAGCGUUGUCCGGAAUCAUUGGGCGUAAAGAGCGUGUAGGCGGUCCGGUAAGUCGGGGGUGAAAUCCUGGAGCUCAACUCCAGAACUGCCUUCGAUACUGGCGAUCUUGAGUCCGGAAGAGGUGAGUGGAACUCCUAGUGUAGAGGUGGAAUUCGUAGAUAUUAGGAAGAACACCAGUGGCGAAGGCGGCUCACUGGUCCGGUACUGACGCUGAGGUGCGAAAGCGUGGGGAGCAAACAGG